rnacentral:ncRNA from 26 species
GAUGUAUCAAGAGUGGCAAUUAGAGAUUUGGCUCAAUGACUUGCCCAGCAACCAGUCGAAAGACAACGGUGCUUCCAAUCCCGAAUGGGAAAGAUGCAAU